UCUGGCUCUUUCAGGGUCCGAGUUGUAAUUUGUAGAGGGUGCUUUGGCAUUGGCUGCAGUCUAAGUUCCUUGGAACAGGACGUCAUGGAGGGUGAGAAUCCCGUACGUGGCUGACAGUCCUCGCCGUGUAAAGCCCCUUCGACGAGUCGAGUUGUUUGGGAAUGCAGCUCUAAAUGGGAGGUAAAUUUCUUCUAAAGCUAAAUAUUGGCCAGAGACCGAUAGCGCACAAGUAGAGUGAUCGAAAGAUGAAAAGCACUUUGGAAAGAGAGUCAAAAAGCACGUGAAAUUGUUGAAAGGGAAGCGCUUGCAGUCAGACUUGCCUGUAGUUGCUCAUCCGGGCUCUUGCCCGGUGCAUUCUUCUACAAGCAGGCCAGCAUCAGUUCGAGCAGCCGGAUAAAGACCUCUGUCACGUAUCUUCCUUCGGGAUGACCUUAUAGGGGAGGUGUAAUGCGGCUAGCUCGGAUUGAGGUCCGCGCAUCUGCUAGGAUGCUGGCGUAAUGGCUGUAAGCGGCCCGUCUU
rnacentral:rRNA from 1 species